rnacentral:ncRNA from 20 species
AUAAAGUUGUAGCACAGAGGUGUCUGCUCAAGAGCAGAUGAAAAGGGAAUCCGGUGGGAAUCCGGAGCGAUGCAGUCACUGUGUACGGGAGCGGCCUUGCAAUCCACUGGGAAACCGGGAAGGGCAAUGCCGUGAUGAACGAAGUCAGGAGACCUGCCUGUGUGUGGAAUUUCAAG